UACGUAGGUGGCAAGCGUCGUCCGGAAUUAUUGGGCGUAAAGAGCUCGUGGGCGGUCUGUUGCGUCGGCUGUGAAAUCCCGAGGCUCAACCUCGGGUCUGCAGUCGAUACGGGCAGACUAGAGUGUUGCAGGGGAGACUGGAAUUCCUGGUGUAGCGGUGAAAUGCGCAGAUAUCAGGAGGAACACCGGUGGCGAAGGCGGGUCUCUGGGCAGCAACUGACGCUGAGGAGCGAAAGCGUGGGGAGCGAACAGG
rnacentral:rRNA from 1 species